rnacentral:lncRNA from 1 species
CUUGAAGUUUGGGAAUUUAAUUUUCUUUUCUAGCAGGUAUCAACUCCAAGGCUUAGACAAUAAAUGCUGAUCAAGGAAAUUCUUAUGGGGAGACCUGUGGCCAUAUGUUAUGUGUUCAAUCAUGCAGCUCCUUGGAAUACCGUUUAUUUACUUUUUCUGCUUUCCCCAGGAACCAGAGUUUUCUACUGAGAUGUUCUCAUUUCUUUCAUGCAUCUGAUCAACACUGUUAAAGAGGUGAGGAGUUUGCACACAUGAACUGGCUGCCCACCGUGGUUGUAUAAAAAUAGCACCACUAAUUUAUCCACGAAGUAAGCAAAUCUCAUUGCUCUUGGAAAAGAAUUUUUAAAAAAUCUUAGACCCGACAACUUUUAUAGGGUAUUUAAACCUGGGGAGGUAAAUGUGAGUAACCUGAUUUUGUAGGAUAUAAUACCUGGAUUAUUCCAGGUAUUAUCCUAGAAAUUAACUUAAUCCUUCAAGUGGUCCCUGAUCCCAAUGAAUAAAAUCCAGAAACCUUCAUUGGUGAAGCAGCUUGUGAGGGUCGUUGGGCAUUGAGUCCACAUCCUCUAGACAUUCCUGACAGCUUAAAGUUCAGAAGUAAGAAAUAAAUUUCCCAUCCAGGAAUAAGGCCAUCUUACCUUAUAGAACAGAUAAUAGAUUUGUAAAUCCCCCCAGAGUUCAGAUAAUAGAAUGCAUUAACAGAGACCUGAACUAUAUGAAUUAAAAGAUGCUGUGGCAAUGGUGAUGUUCAUAAAAAUAAAACAAGAGAACAGAUCUGAGCAGUGCCGAUAUACUUGCAAAAAAAAGAAAAGAAAAGAAAAAAGAAGGACUAGUGGCUUCCUGACAGGAUAAUUAACCAUCAACUGCUCAAAUGUGUGUUAUAUGUUGUAUGUUGUCAAAUUUUGCUGCAUCUUACAUUGGAAUUGUUCAAUUACAUUACUGUGAUCCUUCUAAUUAUGCACCACGUAGAAC